UGAAACACACAGGUGGAUGCUGGUAAACACCUGGGUGUUGGAGGGAAAAAGGGCAGAACCAGUGGCAAAGCAGGAUGGCGAGCUGGUUUUUGGACAGGACAAAUAAAUAUUAUGGCACUUUGUUGUAGUCAACAUUCUUUUUUAUCUACACCUGCUGGGUCACACGGGUGCUGUCUAAGCAAGAGAGGAGCUUGCUCUAAGCCUGGAGAAGAAAAGAAAACAUAACACAAUAUUCUAGUCCUUUGUUGUGCCAAAUGGUCUGAGCCCUGAAGAUUUGACUCCUAUUAUCCAUGAGUUCAGGGUUUUUUGGGCCUUACCGCCACCGACUGGGCUGGAGUGUGCAGCAGAAGAUGGGGGGGGACACACACGACAUAUUCUUUUAGCUAUUUCUGUUUCUUUUAAAUACUUGAUAAAGUGAUAUAUCUGACUUGAUGUGCUCUGCCAUUUUGUUUUUCUCCACUUAUGCUAUAUGAGCUGAUAGCCUGGUAGUAGAGUAGCCAAUCAGAGUGCGUGAUUGCUCAUAUCCAGUGGAUAUGGGGAGAAUAAUAACUGAUUCAAACAUGGCCGCUCUGAACUACAACACCCAAGAACCACAGCGCCCUCUGUCACCUGACUACUAAUCACUCCACCUGCAGGCCAUAGUACAAUCAGCAACACACCUAUAUAAGCCCCGCUCUCAAACCAGCUCCUUGUGAAGUAUUGUUUGGUGUUCUGUCCCUCUCAUACUGAGCUGUUUGGUUUCUGAGAGCCUUUCCAGUUUAUUGAUCUUGUUUCUGUUUCUUCUCAACCUCAUCUUAUCACUCGUUCUACGUUGCUCUGUUUGUUGAAGGCCCGACACUUGCUAAUUUACUGACAUCGCUUUCUGAAUGCUGAUUUGGAUACCUCUGACAAUUUACAUGACCCCAGUCUCCCCUCUGCCUGCGUCUGGAAGUGCCUGCACUCUGACAGGCAAUAAGCUAGUUGUUGGGAGAGCAAGGAGACUUGGGACAGUUUGUAUUCCCAUAAAUUAAUUUUAACCAAUCAGGUUUUAGAUGACCUCAUAAGUUAAAUGUUGCCCCUUAGAUCCUUAGAGUAACCUACUUCCUUUGGAGCCAUGAAGCUGGACAUUGCAGUAAGGUCUGUGCAGUUCAAUAUUUUUGUCAACCAAAACUUGUAUUUUCUAUUUCACAUCCACCUCCAUUCUAUGGUGUAAUGUACGCUGGUGAGGAAUUAAGAUCUGCAGCCUGGGGUUACCAUGUAUAGUAUUUAUUUAUUAAACUUAAAUUUUGGGGGAAAACAACAUUUAAAGCUGCCCCCCCCCAAUGGCCAGGUUGGGACAGUUCAUCAUGUUACAGAUUUUUUUUUUUUCUUCUUGUGGUUGACAAAGGGUGUUUUCACACUUGGUCCCUUUCAGCCAUCUAACCCAAC